AUCUUCUAUGUGUGGGGGUUUUCAUGUAACGUUUGGCCUUUUGUAGCAUACGUUUGACAUUUCUGCACUAUGCAUUGGUGGUUGUGCAUGUAGCGGCGCUUGCUGUACCCAGCUGGGUACCUCCGCGGGGGUCCGCUUCCUAACUGGAAUUGGGGAAAACCUCUUUGCUUUUGCCCCAGUCGCCGUGGCUUGACUGGGGUCCUCCUG